rnacentral:rRNA from 1 species
GACGAACGCUGGCGGCGUGCUUAACACAUGCAAGUCGAACGGAAAGGCCCUGCUUUUGUGGGGUGCUCGAGUGGCGAACGGGUGAGUAACACGUGAGUAACCUGCCCUUGACUUUGGGAUAACUUCAGGAAACUGGGGCUAAUACCGGAUAGGAGCCCCUGCUGCAUGGUGGGGGUUGGAACGUUUCGGCGGGUGGGGAUGGACGCGCGGCUUACCAGCUUGUUGGUGGGGUAGGGGCUUACCAAGGCUUUGACGGGUAGCCGGCCUGAGAGGGUGACCGGGCACAUUGGGACUGAGAUACGGCCCAGACGCCUACGGGAGGCAGCAGUGGGGAAUAUUGCACAAUGGGCGGAAGCCUGAUGCAGCAACGCUGCGUGCGGGAUGACGGCCUUCGGGUUGUAAACCGCUUUCGCCUGUGACGAAGCGUGAGUGACGGUAAUGGGUAAAGAAGCACCGGCUAACUACGUG